GAUGAACGCUGGCGGCGUGCCUAAUACAUGCAAGUCGAGCGAACAGACGAGGAGCUUGCUCCUCUGACGUUAGCGGCGGACGGGUGAGUAACACGUGGAUAACCUACCUAUAAGACUGGGAUAACUUCGGGAAACCGGAGCUAAUACCGGAUAAUAUAUUGAACCGCAUGGUUCAAUAGUGAAAGACGGUUUUGCUGUCACUUAUAGAUGGAUCCGCGCCGCAUUAGCUAGUUGGUAAGGUAACGGCUUACCAAGGCGACGAUGCGUAGCCGACCUGAGAGGGUGAUCGGCCACACUGGAGCUGAGACACGGUCCAGACUCCGACGGGAGGCAGCAGUAGGGAAUCUUCCGCAAUGGGCGAAAGCCUGACGGAGCAACGCCGCGUGAGUGAUGAAGGUCUUCGGAUCGUAAAACUCUGUUAUUAGGGAAGAACAAAUGUGUAAGUAACGAUGCACGUCUUGACGGGACCUAAUCAGAAAGCCACGGCUAACUACGU
rnacentral:rRNA from 1 species